ACUCUCGCCUCACCUUUCUCCUGCAGCUUCUCCUCCGACAUGUAGUCCGGUAGCGGGGCUAGAGGGCCAGGCACCGGGUUACCCGGCCCUCGAUAAGGAAACACUCCGGCCAUAUCCGGAGAAUCUGGGGAGCGGCGGGAUAGAAAAAUUCACUAACCACAGGCCCGGGCCCACAAGAAGCGCAGCAGAAAGGCGUCCGGGGACCCCGGCCUGCAGUCCCGCCACACAGUGCAUCCAGCCCCGCCCGGCCUAAC
rnacentral:lncRNA from 1 species